rnacentral:rRNA from 1 species
CCUACGGGAGGCAGCAGUGAGGAAUAUUGGUCAAUGGACGAGAGUCUGAACCAGCCAAGUAGCGUGAAGGAUGACUGCCCUAUGGGUUGUAAACUUCUUUUAUAUGGGAAUAAAAUGUUCCACGUGUGGGAUUUUGUAUGUACCAUAUGAAUAAGGAUCGGCUAACUCCGUGCCAGCAGCCGCGGUAAUACGGAGGAUCCGAGCGUUAUCCGGAUUUAUUGGGUUUAAGGGGAGCGUAGGUGGAUUGUUAAGUCAGUUGUGAAAGUUUGCGGCUCAACCGUAAAAUUGCAGUUGAAACUGGCAGUCGUGAGUACAGUAGAGGUGGGCGGAAUUCGUGGUGUAGCGGUGAAAUGCUUAGAUAUCACGAAGAACUCCGAUUGCGAAGGCAGCUCACUGGACUGCAACUGACACGGAGGCUCGAAAGUGUGGGUAUCAAACAGGAUUAGAUACCCUAGUAGUC